rnacentral:SRP_RNA from 2 species
GCCGGGUGUGGUGAUGCACACCUGUAGUCCCAGCUACUCGGGAGGCUGAGUCAGGAGAAUCACUUGAACCCAGGAGGCAGAGGUUGCAGUGAGCCGAGAUGGCACCACUGCACUCCAACCUGGGUGACAGAGUGAGACUCUGUCUCAA